GUGGGGAAUAUUGGACAAUGGGCGAAAGCCUGAUCCAGCCAUGCCGCGUGAGUGAUGAAGGCCUUAGGGUUGUAAAGCUCUUUUGUCCGGGAAGAUAAUGACUGUACCGGAAGAAUAAGCCCCGGCUAACUUCGUGCCAGCAACCGCGGUAAUACGAAGGGGGCUAGCGUUGCUCGGAAUCACUGGGCGUAAAGGGCGCGUAGGCGGACUUUUAAGUCGGAGGUGAAAGCCCAGGGCUCAACCCUGGAAUUGCCUUCGAUACUGGGAGUCUUGAGUUCGGAAGAGGUUGGUGGAACUGCGAGUGUAGAGGUGAAAUUCGUAGAUAUUCGCAAGAACACCGGUGGCGAAGGCGGCCAACUGGUCCGAAACUGACGCUGAGGCGCGAAAGCGUGGGGAGCAAACAGGAUUAGAAACCCCAGUAGUCC
rnacentral:rRNA from 1 species